rnacentral:rRNA from 1 species
GACGAACGCUGGCGGCGUGCUUAACACAUGCAAGUCGAACGGAAAGGCCCUGCUUGUGUGGUGUGCUCGAGUGGCGAACGUGUGUGUAACACGUGAGUACCCUGCCCUUGACUUUGGGAUAACUUCAGGAAACUGUGGCUAAUCCCGGAUAGGCGCUCCUGCUUCAUGUUGGGGGUAGGAAAGUUUGGUCGGGUGGGGGUGGACUCGCGGCUUAUCAGCUGGUUGGUGGGGUACUGGCUUACCAAGGCUUGGACGGCUGGCCGGCCUGGGAGGGUGACCGGCAACAUUGGGAUUGGGAUCCGGCCCGGACCCCAACGGGGGGAAGCAGUGGGGAAUAUGGCACAAUGGGCGGAGGCCGGAGCCAGGAAGGCCGGGGGCGGGAUAACGGUCUUCGGGUGGUAAACCGCUUCCGUAGGGGACGAACCGUGAGUGACGGUAAUGGGUAAAGAAGCACCGGCUAACUACGUG